UUGAGUUAUCUUUCCAACUCUCAGUUUAAGAUUCAUCAUUUCUUCUUGUUCACAGAUUUGGUAAAACUAUUACAUAAUGAAUAUUGCAUCAUUCUUUUCUUGCAAAUAAGAUUAGUCUCUUAAUUAUUAGUUUUUGUGAGAUCUAACUAUAUAUGGUUCCUUUCAUACAAAGAUAGGGUGGUCACUAUAAUGUGUCGAACAGGACAGGUAACUACUCUAGCCUUUCCAUAGAUCUAGCCGAUUCAUUUUCUGUAGAGGUUGUCAAUAAAUGACAAGAACAAGUGUAUCAAGUUCGUAAUAUAGGGUCACCAUCAUUCUCUGGCAAAAAAA
rnacentral:lncRNA from 1 species